rnacentral:rRNA from 1 species
UACAGAGGGGGCAAGCGUUGUUCGGAAUUACUGGGCGUAAAGGGCGCGUAGGUGGCCUUCUAAGUUGAACGUGAAAUCCCUGGGCUCAACCCAGGAACUGCGUCCAAGACUGGGAGGCUUGAAUCCGGGAGAGGGAUGCGGAAUUCCAGGUGUAGCGGUGAAAUGCGUAGAUAUCUGGAGGAACACCGGUGGCGAAGGCGGCAUCCUGGACCGGUAUUGACGCUGAGGCGCGAAAGCGUGGGGAGCAAACGGGG